GCGAGAGUUUACGUGAUUUUGUGUGUUGUUUUUUCACCUCAACUGCCGAGUACUGAGGGAAGCUCAGGAAGCUCUGAAGAUACAGCAUGGCCAGCACAUCCUCACUCUCCACAAAGAAUGCAGUGACAUAUGAGGAUGUGCAUGUGAACUUUACUCGGGAAGAAUGGGCUUUGCUGGAUCCUUCCCAGAAGAGUCUCUACAAGGAUGUGAUGCUGGAGACCUACAGGACCCUCAGAGCUAUAGACUCUUAUUGGAAUGACCACAUUAAUGAAGAAAAUUCUCAAACUUCUAGAAGAAAUGGAAGGCAUCUUCAAACGGAAGACAGAACUCACACUGGAGAGAAAACCUAUGAAAGUGUGCAAUGUAAUGAAGUGCUUUCGAGUCACAAUCAUCCUCAGAUAUAUAAAGGAAUGCUUACUGGAGCCUUUGUACUUUAUACUGGUCUUCAAAUGCAUAGAAGAACACAAAUCCGGGAUAAACCCUGUGACUGUAACACACUUGGUAAAGCCUGUGCAUGCCACAGCCAUCUGCAAAGCCAUAAAAGAACACAUACUAGAGGGAAGCCCUACAAAUGUGACCACUGUGGUAAAGCCUUUGCAUAUCAUGGUGAUCUUCAAAGGCAUGAAAGAACACAUACUGGAGAGAAGCCCUAUGACUGUAAAGAAUGUGGUAAAGCCUUUUCAUGUCACAGUGGUCUUCAACAGCAUAAAAGAACACAUACUGGAGAGAAGCCCUAUGAAUGUAACCUCUGUGGUAAAGCCUUUGCUCGUCAAAGCAAUCUUCAAAGGCAUGAAAGGACACAUACUGGAGAGAAGCCAAAUGAAUGUAACCACUGUGGUAAAGCCUUUUCACAAUACAGUGGUCUUUUGAGACAUAAAAGAACACAUACUGGAGAGAAGCCCUAUGAAUGUAACCACUGUGGUAAAGCCUUUGUUUGUCAAAGCAAUCUUCAAAGCCAUGAAAGGACACAUACUGGAGAGAAGCCCUAUGAAUGUAACCAAUGUGGCAAAGCCUUUGCUCGUCACAGCAAUCUUCAAAGUCAUGAAAGGACACAUACUGGAGAGAAGCCCUAUGAAUGUAACCAAUGUGGUAAAGCCUUUUCACAAUACAGUGGUCUUUUGAUACAUAAAAGAACACAUACUGGAGAGAAGCCCUAUGAAUGUAACCACUGUGGUAAAGCCUUUGCUUGUCAAAGCAAUCUUCAAAAUCAUGAAAGGACACAUACUGGAGAGAAGCCCUAUGAAUGUAACCAAUGUGGUAAAGCCUUUUCACAAUACAGUAGUCUUUUGAGACAUAAAAGAACACAUACUGGAGAGAAGCCCUAUGAAUGUAACCACUGUGGUAAAGCCUUUGCUUGUCAAAGCCGUCUUCACAGUCAUGAAAGGACAUAUACUGGAGAGAAGCCCUAUGAAUGUAACCACUGUGGUAAAGCCUUUGCUUGUCAAAGCCGUCUUCACAGUCAUGAAAGGACAUAUACUGGAGAGAAGCCCUAUGAAUGUAACCAAUGUGGUAAAGCCUUUACUUAUCACAGCCAUCUUCAAGGGCAUGAAAGUACACAUACUGGAGAGAAGCCCUAUGAAUGUAAACAAUGUGAUAAAACCUUUGCUUGUCAUAGUGGUCUUCAAAGGCAUGAAAAGACACAUACUGGAGAGAAGCCCUAUGAAUGUAACCAAUGUGGUAAAGCCUUUUCACGAUUCAGAAAUCUUUCGAAUCAUAAAAGAACACAUACUGGCGAGAAGCCCUAUGAAUGUGACCAAUGUGGUAAAGCCUUUUCAUAGAAGAAUUGUCUUCAGAUUCAUAAAAUAGCACAUACUAGAGAGAAUCCCUUUGAGUGUAGCCUUAGCUUGUCAUAGCCAUCUUCAAAGCCAUAAAAGAACACAUACUGGAGAGAAGCCCUAUGAAUGUAACCACUGUGGUAAAGCCUUUUCUUGUCAUAGCCAUCUUCAAAGCCAUAAAAGAACACAUACUGGAGAGAAGCCCUAUGAAUGUAACCACUGUGGUAAAGCCUUUUCUUGUCAUAGCCAUCUCAAAGCCAUAAAAGAACACAUACUGGAGAGAAACCUUAUUCGUGUAACUACUGUGGCAAAACAUUUGUAGAAAACACUAAUCUCCAAAAGCAUAAAAAAACCCUACACUGAAAAGACUCUCUAUGUAUGUAACCAAUGUGAUAAAGCCUUUGCUCAUCACAGCUGUCUUCAAAUCCAUGGAAAGACACAUAGAGGAAAUAAACACUAUGCAUGUACCCAGUGUCGUAAAGUGUUUUCACAUAACAGUAAUCUUCCAUACCAUAAAAGACACAUACUGAAUAGAAGCCCUAUGAAUGUAACCAAUGUAGUAAAACCUUUUCACAGAAGAGUUUUCUUCAGUGUCAUAAAAGAACACAUCGUGGAGAGAAGCUCUAUGAAUGUAACCAAUGUUGUAAAGCCUUUGCUCAACACAGCCAUCCUCAAAGCAAUAACCGGACACAUACUGGAGAGAAACACGAUUCAUGUAACCAAUGUGUUAAAGUGUUUUCACAUAACAGUUAUCUUCAGAGUUACUAAAGAACACAUUACUUGACAGAAGUCCCAUGGAUGUAAACAACGUGGUAAAGCCUUUGCACAUGUCGUCUUCAAGGGCAUUAAAAACCUAGAUUGCAGUGAACUCUUAUGAAUGUAGUCAACUUGAUUAAGACUUUGCAUAUCAGAGUCUCCUCCUUUUGCAUGAAAAGGAUCAUUUAGCACAGUGAUAUUGUGUGUUUGUGUGUUUGUGUGUGUGUGUGUGUGUGUUUAUGCUUGUAACUCUUUUGUCUACUCAUCCCAUACUCUUUCUCUAGUUAAUUACUUGCCUAUCUUUGAUAUGAGGAUUUGUUGUUUUUUUAUUGUCAUAUGUUAUGUCUUGUUUAGUUGAUAUCCACAAGAGGCUGCCCUGCUAUUUUUCGAAGAGGAUGGUUGAGGAGUGGAUCUUGGGACCAUGGUAGGUUUGGAAUGUCAUAGAGAAGUGAAGGGGAGGGAAAACAACCCAGGAAUGAAACCUUCAGCCUAUAAAGUUUCCUGCUUGCAAGGUGUACUGUGUCAAUACUAGCACAGAACUUGUGGUAGUAACCAAAUAUAGUGGUUUAAUUGGAUGCACAUGAAACAAGAAGGAGCCUGUAACUGAC
rnacentral:lncRNA from 1 species